rnacentral:rRNA from 1 species
ACGAGGGGGGCGAGCGUUGUUCGGAAUUAUUGGGCGUAAAGGGCGCGUAGGCGGUGCGGUAAGUCACCUGUGAAACCUCUGGGCUUAACUCAGAGCCUGCAGGCGAAACUGCCGUGCUGGAGUGUGGGAGAGGUGCGUGGAAUUCCCGGUGUAGCGGUGAAAUGCGUAGAUAUCUGGAGGAACACCGGUGGCGAAGGCGGCAUCCUGGACCGACAUUGACGCUGAUGAGCGAAAGCUAGGGGAGCAAACGGGA